CCUCCAGCCUCACCAGAGCGCACGCUCCUGGAGAGGAGACCCAGCCCUCCUGUCCUCACGGACAGCCCCACGUCUCCUCCUCUCCACACACCACGUGCAUAAGUUCUUUCAGUCUGCAAAUUAAAUAGCUCCAUGCUGAGCUCAAAUUGUUAUUUCUGCUAUUAAUUUCUGUCUACUGACAAACCCAAAUAGGUGAUGCAGGAAAUUCAAGGCAACAAAGACUUCUGUUUGCAGUAAUACAGAACUCUCAGCUGAGGGGGGGGAAGGAUCAGAGUAAAAGGCUAAUAUACUGAGCCUAUGUACACUACAGAAUAUCUGUGUUGAGUCCAGCAAGCAAAAAGUCUAGCAGAUUCAAAGCAGUAUUAAGAAGUGUUAAUCCUUUUACCUCUGAGCUAUUCAUGAGCAAUAUGCAAAGCUGUUCUUAUGGCGUCGCGUUUGCAAUGCUCUAGUUAUGCUUGCAUCAGCAUUUCCAUUGUGAACCCUGCUUUCAGAGUUUUUUCACUUUGCCAAGUUUUAGUCUGGAACAAUUUUACCACAAGCCUAUGAGAUUUUAGUCCAGGAUUAGGAUUUCAGUCUGGUGAAGAAACAUUUGGACAAAAUCUGCUUGGCUGUUUUAUUUAUUAUAGUGCAAAGUUAAUCCUUCCGAUUUACUGGACUGGAAAAAUACUCAAAAAUAUAAUUUUUUUUCCAGCUUUAAGAAAGAAAACAAGAUUUACUCAUUUACUCUCCCUGAGAAUGUCUUCUCACCAGAUCUCUACAGCCAUAAAGCAGAUGAAGGGCAUAAGCAAGAAAACCAAGGCAAAAAUGAAGAAAUAUACAAUCAGGCAGCAUUUCACUUCCCGCAGUAUUCUUUGCAGCAAAUUAUUACCAUCUACAAGUUGGCAUUAGCAACAGAGGUGAAAACAUGCAGCCAUAAAACCUGUGUGUGACCACCGCAGCUCCACGGAUUUGGGAAAGGAGUACGUGUGAUGGAGAAGGGGUGAGCGAGGACAUCACCCCAGCUAUGAGAAAUGCAGGUCACAAUAAUCACAAGCUGGUGACCUCAAAGUGCUGGGGACAGGGGGGAGCUCCCUAGACCGAGCAGAGGAGGCCCUGCCUGACACACGCGGAGGCAUGGUUGAGGGGCUGGAGCACACCUCGCUCACCCUGUUCCCCCAGCAGUCACAGGAGGACAAGUGAACACACGUGGUCUGCACAUCUCCAAGGACCUCCCUCACAGGCAAGUAGCUUCUCUUUCCAUCACAGGCAGAGAACAUCCAGAGUUGUUCCCCGAGCACAUGAAGUUGUCCAUUGUGAGAGCUGCCAGGUAUCUUUGCACCGGGGCUCUAUGCCAUGAGGACAAGCAGCCUUGAGGGUCACCCACAAGGUCUGGCUGUCCAGACAAGGCCCUCCUGAUGUCUCAGGAACACUAGGAGACUUCUGCUCCAAAGCAUAUGGUGCACAAAGGAGAACGGGUUCAUCAGUCAGUUCCAACAAGACACAGCCUUGUCCCAAGGCUCUCCUCAAGGCCAACUCCUACUCUGGAGAAAAGACCGACUCCCAGCCAGGAGGGUUUGGGCCCCUCCCCAGCUCCCAGCUGAGGAGAUCACCACCACAGGCCAUGAUCCACAUGGGGUAACCUUGGGCACAACACCUCAUGGAGAUACAGCAUGCCCACCGUCAUGCCCCACCAGUGCAAAGGGAGGAACACUUUUAACCAUAUCUUGUGGGAACUAAGGACAACGGGGCAAGAACAGACACACACAAUGUCUCCUUGCAUGACAGUCUGACAACUACCACAGGGCAAACUGACAACGAACUGAAGACAAAGCCCGCUUCUUCCAUGCACCCCAGGACAAAAGGGACUGAAGACUGUUAAACGGAUUUGGAGAACAUCCAGAACGCCACAGUGAUCCCGAAAGAACAAAGAUUUCAUCAGAAAUCAGUUCGAAUUUGCCCUCAACAAAGCGCAGGUAAAGGUUUGGAUUUAAUUGUUAUUUCUGGCAUUCUACCAAGGAAUAAAAUAAAAACAGCUAUCA
rnacentral:lncRNA from 1 species